GUGCUCAGUUGGACAGCAUAUAUACUAAAAUCAAAUGAUACAGAGAUUAGUAUGGCCCCUGCACAUGAAUGACAUGCAAAUUUGUGAAGUGUUUCAUAUUUUU
ensembl:snRNA U6 U6 spliceosomal RNA